UGAAGAUUGCUUGUGGCUUAUCAGUGGUCCU
rnacentral:piRNA from 1 species